AACGAACGCUGGCGGCAGGCCUAACACAUGCAAGUCGAACGCCCCGCAAGGGGAGUGGCGCACGGGUGAGUAACGCGUGGGAAUAUGCCCUUCGGUUCGGAAUAACGCAGGGAAACUUGUGCUAAUACCGGAUACGAUCUACGGAUGAAAGAUUUAUCGCCGAGGGAGUAGCCCGCGUAGGAUUAGCUAGUUGGUGAGGUAAUGGCUCACCAAGGCGACGAUCCUUAGCUGGUCUGAGAGGAUGAUCAGCCACACUGGGACUGAGACACGGCCCAGACUCCUACGGGAGGCAGCAGUGGGGAAUAUUGGACAAUGGGCGAAAGCCUGAUCCAGCCAUGCCGCGUGAGUGAUCAAGGCCUUAGGGUUGUAAAGCUCUUUCGCCAGGGAAGAUAAUGACGGUACCUGGAAAAGAAGCCUCGGCUAACUCCGUGCCAGCCGCCGCAGUAA
rnacentral:rRNA from 1 species